GGGAGGAAAAGAAACUAACUAGGAUUCCCUUAGUAGCGGCGAGCGAAACGGGAUUAGCCCAGCACUAAGCCCAAUUAGCAAUUGUUGUUAUUUGGGGAUGCAGUGUAUGGAGAGUUCAAUAGCUUAUUGCAUAUAGAUAGUAGAUUCAAGUCCAUCUUGAAUGGGGCCACUUUAUCCCAUAGAGGGUGCCAGGCCCGUAGCAAUUACUAUCUGCAAUUUGCGAACGUUUUCUCCUAAGAGUCGUGUUGCUUGAUAGUGCAGCACAAAGUGGGUGGUAAACUCCAUCUAAGGCUAAAUAUAACCACGAGACCGAUAGAGAACAAGUACCGUGAGGGAAAGUUGAAAAGAACUCUGAAUAGAGAGUUAAAAAGUACGUGAAACCGUAUAGGGGUUAAGCCCGUUGAAUCUAAUCUAUCCGAUGGAUGAAAUUCAAUAUUAAAUUUAAUCGUUUAGUAUGCACUUUUCAUCUAGUAGGACACUGCAAUCCGUUAGAUUAAAUAUACGCUUUUUUUUGCUAUAUUUGAGUCUAUCUCUAGAAUUCGUCAUGGAUUGUUUAUCAUAAAUAUCGUCAUGUUAUUUUGAUAAAUCCAUAUAGAAUUUUGAUAGUAUUCGACUGACGGAUUUAAAACAAUCAUAUAACAUGCAUAUGUAAUUACCUAUGUAAUUUAUAUGUAUUUGAUUGGCAGUGCACUCAAAGAUUUAGAUACCUUCGGG
rnacentral:rRNA from 1 species